CAAGGAAUUUUCCCCAAUGGGCGCAAGCCUGAGGGAGCAACGCCGCGUGCAGGACGACGGCCUUCGGGUUGUAAACUGCUUUUGCGUGGGACGAUAACGACGGUACCACGCGAAUCAGCCCCGGCUAACUCUGUGCCAGCAGCCGCGGUAAUACAGAGGGGGCAAGCGUUGUCCGGACUUACUGGGCGUAAAGCGCACGCAGGUGGUAGCGCAAGUGGGGUGUGAAAGCCGCCAGCUCAACUGGCGGAGGCCAUCCCAAACUGCGUCACUUGUGGCCUGUAGAGGUAUGUGGAAUUGCCGGUGUAGUGGUGAAAUGCGUAGAUAUCAGGAAGAAAACCGGUGGCGAAAGCGCUCUGCGAGGCCGUAACUGACACUGAGGGACGAAAGCGAAGGGAGCGAAUGGGAUUAGAUACCCGGGUAGUCC
rnacentral:rRNA from 1 species